rnacentral:lncRNA from 1 species
GUGACUGAUUCGACCAUUAUUUAUUCUGGUCUUGCGCGGCAUUUUUGUUUUUCUGAAUUGAUCGGGCAGCUCCGGCAGCGUGCAUGUGGGGUUUGCGUGCUCUGAGGGAGCCCACACGGGGCCAUUAAAGUACUAGGUUUGGGGCGAGAGAGGCUGGGGGUUCUGUCUGUGUCAGACCAAGCCUUGUGGGUCAUGGGAGGCGACGUCCAGCCCACGAUUUCCUGUUCCCAGUGCUGAGGGAACACGGCCUGGGUCCUGCCUGGCCACCCGCUCCAAGGUGAGCAGAAUCCAGGAGGUUGGGUCCUGUGCGAACCGGGCUGAAAUGCCAGGAAUGAGGUGUGAGGCUCCGAGGGGGAGGCCUGGAAGACCUCUGAGCACCUGCAGAGGGGACGGGAUGCGUGGUGUGCACAGGGGUCAGCGCGGCCUUUUGGAAGAGACGUAGUCGGCCUGGCCUUGAAGGUCUCCAAGGCUUCAGCCCCGCAUAGAGCUGCUCCUUGCCUUCGUGAGCUGCGUCCUCUGUGCUGCUUGGGAGGAUGAUUGAUCCAGUGCUGCACCGAUGCUGAGUCUCUUCACUUCUGCUUCUCUAGAUCCCCGUGAAAAAUGAUUCUCUAAAAGCCAGAUGUGCUGUUAGAGCUUCAUUGCAGGCAUGAGGUAAAGAAGUCCAGUGUUAUGAUGUGCACCUGAGAGAAGAGGAAACGAGGUCCCGCUGACAAGUGCCGAGACUCACCCAGCUUUCUUAGCAGGCUCCUACAGCUCCUGUCUGGCCCCCAGCCCAAGCUCUCUCCACUGCCCCCAGCUUUUCCAGAGUGAAAAAGGUUACACUGGACUCCACGUUAGAGGAGGGAUCGAACUCGGGACCUUGAGCUUGCAAGGCAGGCGGUGGUACCACUGAGCUAAAUCCCCGG